rnacentral:tRNA from 1 species
GAGGGUAGAGCUCAGUGGUAGAGCGCGUGCUCAGCAUGCACGAGGUCCUGGGUUCCAUCCUCAGCUCCUCCA